rnacentral:rRNA from 1 species
UUAACCUACGGGGCGCAGCAGUGGGGGAUAUUGCACAAUGGGGGAAACCCUGAUGCAGCGACGCCGCGUGGGUGAAGAAGCGCCUCGGCGCGUAAAGCGCUGUCAGCAGGGAAGAAAAUGACGGUACCUGAAGAAGAAGCCCCGGCUAACUACGUGCCAGCAGCCGCGGUAAUACGUAGGGGGCAAGCGUUAUCCGGAUUUACUGGGUGUAAAGGGGGCGCAGACGGCGAUGCAAGCCAGGAGUGAAAGCCCGGGGCCCAACCCCGGGACUGCUCGUGGAACUGCGUGGCUAGAGCGCAGGAGGG